rnacentral:rRNA from 1 species
UUCCGUAGGUGAACCUGCGGAAGGAUCAUUAAUGAAACUUCAAAGUCGGCCAAAGGUUGUUGCUGGUGAUUAUUCACAUGUGCACACUUUUGGUCGCAAAUCCACACACACCUGUGCAUCUAUGACUCGAGGUUGUAAUGACUGAGAGUAACUUUUACACACUCUUGUAUGUAAUGGAAUGUCUUUUUGUGCUAUAAUGUACAAUAUAAACAACUUUCAACAACGGAUCUCUUGGCUCUCGCAUCGAUGAAGAACGCAGCGAAAUGCGAUAAGUAAUGUGAAUUGCAGAAUUCAGUGAAUCAUCGAAUCUUUGAACGCACCUUGCACCCUUUGGUAUUCCGAAGGGUACGCCCGUUUGAGUGUCAUUGUAAUCUCACUUCUACAACUUUAUUGUUGUUUGAAUGUGGACUUGGAUGUUGCUGUUUUAUCACGGCUCGUCUUAAAUGCCUGAGUGUACCCUGUUUUGCAGCGUAUCCAGUGUAAUAAACAUUUCACUAGAGUUGGUCGAAAGACCACGUUGACUAUAUGGGCUCUAUGCUUCAAACCGUCUACCAUGUGGACAAUUUCUUGACAAUUUGACCUCAAAUCGGGUGGGACUACCCGCUGAACUUAAGCAUAUCAAUAAGCGGAGGAAAAGAAACUAACAAGGAUUCCCCUAGUAACGGCGAGUGAAGAGGGAAAAGCUCAAAUUUUGAAUCUGGUGUCUUUGACUCCCGAGUUGUAAUCUAGAGAAGUGUUUUCCGUGUCGGACCGUGUACAAGUUCCCUGGAACGGGGCGUCAUAGAGGGUGAGAAUCCCGUAUAUGCCACGGACUACCGAUGCUCUGUGAUACACUCUCAACGAGUCGAGUUGUUUGGGAAUGCAGCUCAAAAUGGGUGGUAAAUUCCAUCUAAAGCUAAAUAUUGGCGAGAGACCGAUAGCGAACAAGUACCGUGAGGGAAAGAUGAAAAGCACUUUGGAAAGAGAGUGAAACAGUACGUGAAAUUGUUGAAAGGGAAGCGUUUGAAGUCAGUCACAUCUGUUGGGGUUCAGCCUGGCUUUUGCCUGGUGUAUUUCCUUUCCGAUGGGUCAGCAUCAGUUUCGACCGAGGGAAAAAGACAUUUGGAAUGUGGCUGUCUUCGGGCAGUGUUAUAGCCUUGUGUUGUAUGUCUCGGUUGGGACUGAGGAUUGCAGCGCGCCAUAAAUGGCCGGGGGUCGCUCCUCUCGACACGCGCUUAGGAUGCUGGCAUAAUGGCUUUAAGCGACCCGUCUUG